rnacentral:rRNA from 1 species
GAUCCUGGCUCAGGAUGAACGCUAGCUACAGGCUUAACACAUGCAAGUCUAGGGGAAACGGUAUUGGAAGCUUGCUUCCGAUAGGCGUCGACCGGCGCACGGGUGAGUAACGCGUAUCCAACCUGCCCACCACUUGGGGGAUAACCUUGCGAAAGUAAGACUAAUACCCAAUGAUAUCUCUAGAAGACAUCUGAAAGAGAUUAAAGAUUUAUCGGUGAUGGAUGGGGAUGCGUCUGAUUAG